GACAGAGGGGGCAAGCGUUGCUCGGAAUUACUGGGCGUAAAGGGCGCGUAGGCGGGAUGGCAAGUCGGUCGUGAAAUCCCUCGGCUCAACCGAGGAACGUCGAUCGAUACUGCUGUUCUUGAGGAUUGCAGAGGAGACUGGAAUUCCCGGUGUAGCGGUGAAAUGCGUAGAGAUCCGGAGGAACACCAGAGGCGAAAGCGGCGCUCUGGGCUGCACCUGACGGCUGAACUGCGAAAGCCCAGGGGAGCGAACGGG
rnacentral:rRNA from 1 species